UGAUGAGGUCAGCCUGUGGCAGGAAGCUCAUCCCAUGGGUCACUAGGAUGCGGGUCUGUACAGCAAGCCACACACGACAGAAAAUAGCAUACAGAGGAUCAUCCAUGAGGUAUACAUCAGCCUUUCUGUAGACAGCUCUGGCCAGGCUCACCCUCUGCUUCUGCCCACCUGAGAGGUUCAGUCCCUGCAUGGAUGCAGUUAUUCAAAAGCAUCUCCGGCAGGUAGGAUGUCCAGGUCGGGCAGCAGUGCACAGGCCUCCAGCACUCGAUUGUACCAUGUCUUCAGUUUCUCUCGGC